UUUAGUAAAAUAAUCUAGAAUUGAAGAUUGGAGGUAACCUUAAGUUGCUCACUGAAAUGGAAUGGAGGUCAGGAAAGCACAGUGGCAGGGCCUGGGUUUGAGAGCCAGAAUGCUGUGUCCGUAUCAAAACACUUACUACCUAUCGGAAAGUCCUUCAACCUCUCUGUGCCUUGGUUUCCUCAUUUGUAAAGUGAGGAUUGUAGUAAAAUCUACCUCAGAAAAAAAAAUGAGUUAAUACACAUAAUGGACUUAUUAGAGUGCGUGGUUAGUUGGUAGAGUUUGUUAUUAGUAAUGAGCAUGAUGUAUUGUUAACUGUCCAAAACAUUCAGAGAAUGGAUUCUUCUUCCUAGUAGCCUUAGCAAGAAAUUCAAGCCUUUAUUAAGAUGACGCAUUUCUUCUUUACUUGCAGAAAAUCUGAAUAAUCUUACUGUUAAGUCUUGUUCAGUUACUCUCCAAUGUUUGUCAAUAUGGUCAUAACAUUGAAAAUGUAACAUAAUUGUUUAUAAAUCUUUUAGGUCAAAUGAGCCAUUGAUAGUCCUUUUUGGAUGGUUAUGGUAAUUCAGAUAUGCUGUUGAUUUUAUAUUGACUUUAUGAUUGACUGGAAUGAUUAGUUCAGAAAUUUUUUGUUAAAUUACUUACUGCCUUUACCAAGGGUUGUUUUCUCUUUCUCCAAACAGAUAAGCAACUUGAAGAAAAUUUUAAAAGGAAUCCUGGAUUAUAAUCAUGAGAUUUUAGGACAGCAGAUCAAUGACUUUAUCCUUCCUGAUGUGAACCUUAUUGGGGAGCAUUCUGAUGCUGUAGAGCUUGGAAGGACACUUCAGCUCAUUUGGGGCUGUGCUGUGAACUGUGAACAGAAGCAAGAGUACAUCCAAGCCAUUAUGAUGAUGGAGGAAUCUGUUCAGCAUGUUGUCAUGACAGCCAUUCAAGAGGUAUGUGUGGAGCUUUGUGCUUACCAUUUGUGAGAAAUUCAAGAAGCAAAC